ensembl:ncRNA asRNA:CR46107 antisense RNA:CR46107
GGGUAUUCCUGGUGACCCACAGGACAAACCGGCCGACGUGAUUCCCACAACUACGUACAUACAGGGAUAUUCCCGAUGGUACAUUAGCAAAGGUCCUCCUGAGUCGCCGUUACAGGUGUCCUGGGCCAUCUCCGAACCAACACAGAGCUGGUUGUUUCCAUCGAAUCCUCGAGGGAACUCCUCCACCUGCCGGCGCUGCAACUUCACCUUCAGCAGCUGGGCGGAUGGCUUCAGCGCCAGGCCAGUGCUUCCCCACCCAACGGCUAUGAAGGAGUCGGAAGAGCGUUCAUCCUGGAACGGCAGACAGGCUGGAUGCUUAUAUAGGUCAAAGACCACGGCCUCCGUCAGUUUGACAAGACCUAUAUCAUGGUAGAACUGCGGAUCUUCGUAGCCCGGAUGGGCUAUAUACCCUGCAACCAUAUAGUCUCUGGGCGCCGCAUCCUCAUCCAAGGAAUCGAAGUCGAGUUCGCCCAAUCGCACAACAUUCACCUCUCCCCUAUAAAAAUGAGAUAUUUAUUCCUAACUUGAGCAGGGAAAAACCUCUGCUUACCUUUCCGAUUCCAGGCAGUGAGCUGCGGUUAAGACGAACCGCUCGCUGAUCAGAACGCCACCACAAAACCAGUCGGCACGGCUGCUCGGAUCUGGGCGACGCCCCAAGCGGGCCAUAUGCGGAAAUUCCCUGGGCUGGGCCGGAUGACCACCGACGAUGAGCGGCGUGUAGCUCCUGCAGUUGUCUAUGAUCCGACUCUCAAUCGAAGCUCCGGGCAACAGGAAACCGAACUCGAUUCUUUCCUCGAAAACGCUCUUCUUGUAUCUAGAGCAAGCUGAACAUUGCGAUUUUCAAUUUGAUAAUCCAAUAUUGAUCAAAAAGAACAGCUCAGAUCAGUGGUCAACACGUUAAUAUAUUAUAAUAUAUAACUAGAUCUUUAAAGCCACUUGCAAGGCUACUUCUUUGUCCACUUACAUCCCACAACAUCCAUAUCCGGCUGCUGGCCAAAAACACAUGCCAGCGAAACGAUCAGCUGGGAGAACAGCCUCCAUAUCUUCAUCUUCAGGUGGCGAUCGGUGAUCGACUGUGCGAUCCGAACGGGUUUAGCUCCCAAUUAGUUACCGAUCAAUUAGCUGCGGAAAGCCCAAUGGAGGUGCGUCUAAAGCGGGUAAAAGCUAAUGAAAUCCCCGCUCUUUUAACAAUUAUUCCACAAUAAAACGAUUUUGUUUUUACUUCUUUAUAAGUGGGUAAGCAAGGCUGAUCUU